rnacentral:rRNA from 1 species
GGACGAACGCUGGCGGCGUGCUUAACACAUGCAAGUCGAGCGGUAAGGCCCUUCGGGGUACACGAGCGGCGAACGGGUGAGUAACACGUGGGUGAUCUGCCUCGUACUCUGGGAUAAGCCUGGGAAACUGGGUCUAAUACCGGAUAUGACCACAUGUCGCAUGGUGUGUGGUGGAAAGAUUUAUCGGUGCGAGAUGGGCCCGCGGCCUAUCAGCUUGUUGGUGGGGUAACGGCCUACCAAGGCGACGACGGGUAGCCGACCUGAGAGGGUGAUCGGCCACACUGGGACUGAGACACGGCCCAGACUCCUACGGGAGGCAGCAGUGGGGAAUAUUGCACAAUGGGCGGAAGCCUGAUGCAGCGACGCCGCGUGCGGGAUGACGGCCUUCGGGUUGUAAACCGCUUUCGACAGGGACGAAGCGUGAGUGACGGUACCUGUAGAAGAAGCACCGGCCAACUACGU